GACGAACGCUGGCGGCGUGCCUAAUACAUGCCAGUCGAGCGGACUGAUUAAGAGCUUGCUCUUAUGACGUUAGCGGCGGACGGGUGAGUAACACGUGGGCAACCUGCCCUGUAGAUCGGGAUAACACCGAGAAAUCGGUGCUAAUACCGGGUAAUAUCUGAGAUCACAUGAUCUUAGGUUAAAAGAUGGCUCCGGCUAUCACUACAGGAUGGGCCCGCGGCGCAUUAGCUAGUUGGUAAGGUAAUGGCUUACCAAGGCGACGAUGCGUAGCCGACCUGAGAGGGUGAUCGGCCACACUGGGACUGAGACACGGCCCAGACUCCUACGGGAGGCAGCAGUAGGGAAUCUUCCGCAAUGGACGAAAGUCUGACGGAGCAACGCCGCGUGAGUGAUGAAGGGGUUCGGCUCGUAAAGCUCUGUUGUUAGGGAAGAAACAGUACCGAACGAACUAGGUCGGUACCUUGACGGUACCUAAACAGAAAGCCACGGCUAACUACGUG
rnacentral:rRNA from 1 species